rnacentral:rRNA from 1 species
GAUGAACGCUGGCGGCGUGCUAACACAUGCAAGUCGAGCGAUCUUCUUCGGAAGAGAGCGGCGGACGGGUGAGUAACGCGUGGGUAAACCUGCCCUGUACACACGGAUAACAUACCGAAAGGUAUGCUAAUACGGGAUGACAUAUGAAAGUCGCAUGGCUUUUAUAUCAAAGCUCCGGCGGUACAGGAUGGACCCGCGUCUGAUUAGCUAGUUGGUAAGGUAACGGCUUACCAAGGCGACGAUCAGUAGCCGACCUGAGAGGGUGAUCGGCCACACUGGAACUGAGACACGGUCCAGACUCCUACGGGAGGCAGCAGUGGGGAAUAUUGCACAAUGGGCGAAAGCCUGAUGCAGCAACGCCGCGUGAGCGAUGAAGGCCUUCGGGUCGUAAAGCUCUGUCCUCAAGGAAGAUAAUGACGGUACUUGAGGAGGAAGCCCCGGCUAACUACGUGCCAGCAGCCGCGGUAAUACGUAGGGGGCUAGCGUUAUCCGGAAUUACUGGGCGUAAAGGGUGCGUAGGCGGUCUUUCAAGCCAGAAGUGAAAGGCUACGGCUCAACCGUAGUAAGCUUUUGGAACUGUAGGACUUGAGUGCAGGAGAGGAGAGUAGAAUUCCUAGUGUAGCGGUGAAAUGCGUAGAUAUUAGGAGGAAUACCAGUAGCGAAGGCGGCUCUCUGGACUGUAACUGACGCUGAGGCACGAAAGCGUGGGGAGCAAACAGG